GACGAACGCUGGCGGCGUGCUUAACACAUGCAAGUCGAGCGGAAAGGCCACUUCGGUGGUACUCGAGCGGCGAACGGGUGAGUAACACGUGAGUAAUCUGCCCUUCACUUUGGGAUAACCCCCGGAAACGGGAGCUAAUACCGGAUACGACCUUCAACCGCAUGGUUUGUUGGUGGAAACUUUUUUGGGUGGGGGAUGUGCUCGCGGCCUAUCAGCUUGUUGGUGGGGUAAUGGCCUACCAAGGCUUUGACGGGUAGCCGGCCUGAGAGGGUGACCGGCCACACUGGGACUGAGGCACGGCCCAGACUCCUACGGGAGGCAGCAGUGGGGAAUAUUGGACAAUGGGCGGAAGCCUGAUCCAGCAACGCCGCGUGAGGGAUGACGGCCUUCGGGUUGUAAACCUCUUUCAGCACCGACGAAGCGCAAGUGACGGUAGGUGCAGAAGAAGGACCGGCCAACUACGUGCCAGCCGCCGCCGUAAGAC
rnacentral:rRNA from 1 species